rnacentral:tRNA from 1 species
GGCCUGGUGGUCUAGUCGCAUGAUUCCUCCUUUGGGCGCUUAUUGCUUCCUUGGAGGAGGUCCUGGGUUCAAUUCCCGGUCAGGCCC